AGAGAAAUGAAGUGGGUGGACAGAGCAGAGGAAGGUUGUACCUGAGUACAACCUUCCUCUGCUCUGCCCACCUACUUCAUUUCACA